rnacentral:lncRNA from 1 species
GGCUGAUGAGGAGGCGAACUCAUGGGAAAGAAGGUAGUGUGGCGGCGUUGUUAGACAGUGAGGUGCUUCUGAAUUUUCCUCAAUCCUAUAUUUAUUGCCUGUAUCACUUAUUAGCACUUAUUCAGUAUCACAGGAAUAGAACAAUCCUAUAUCUUUUUUUUGUAGAUUUCCUCAAAUCAAGAAGUACACCAAGUUUGGUUUGAGAUCGCCGGUGAUUAUGAUUUGAUCCGUGGAGAAACUGAUGUAUCUAGGAAGUAAAAAAAGGAUCUUCCAGAAACUAAAUUAGUAGAACAAAAUUACAAGUUUCAUAUUUCCCGUGCAACUUGAAGGUCUACAAAAGUUCAACAAUUGAAGGUCUACAGAAGUUCAACAAAAUAAUGAUUCUGAUGUUCUCCAAAGCAUCAUGAUUAGAAUAUAUCCUUAGGAUAUAUGCAUAUUCAGUAGUUCAGUGAAGUUUGUAAUGUGCUCAUAUCCUCGCAAGUCUUCCUCAUUCAGAGUUUGCACCGUUGAAUGAUUUUCUUUUGUCUUGAACUCUGAUUUUUUCCGCUUUGUUAUCUGUUGCAAGUGAUAAUUUGAAUAUUAGUACUUGAGUAAACUACAUUUGAAUGGUACAAUGUGUCAAUGGUACCUUGGAUAAGGGUGGUGUGGUAGUUGUGGCUGGUCCUAUCUUCUUUCUUUUGUACUGUCUUUCAGUCCAAUCUUUCCGUCUUUUCGAAUUUUUGUCUGCCUUGUUGACUUCCUUCUUUUUUAGGCACGCAGCAGCCAACAAAUCAGUUGUUGCUGGAGGAGUCACUUUGGCAUUCAACAAAUCGUCUGAUGCUGGCGAAGGCACUUCUACAUUCAACAACUGUCGUUUCACUUCCUUACUAAGGUUAUCAAGUGUAUUGUCGAUCAAAAUACAACAUUCUUCAGAAUGUGAUGCUUCAGUUGCCAAGUUAUUAAAUUUGUGCGAUAGGCCAUUGUGGCGGAGAACUGCCUCUAUAUUUGGAUCUGCAAUCACAAUCCUUCCAUGACUAUCCUUAACAGAUCCUGCUCGUGCUUCUCGAGUCCAUCGCUUCAAAAUAUAGCGUGAUGGAAGCAACUUAAUGUUCAUCAAGUCAAGAACUUUUAAAGCAUGCGCACACAAUAUUCCUAGUCUAUCAAACUGACCACAACUGCAUGAUGAUG